rnacentral:rRNA from 1 species
GACGAACCGUGCGAACGUUGUUCGGAAUCACUGGGCUUAAAGGGCGCGUAGGCGGGUGUGCAAGUCUGUGGUGAAAGCCCCCGGCUCAACCGGGGAAGUGCCGUGGAUACUGUGCAUCUUGAGGAGGGUAGGGGCAUCUGGAACGGUCGGUGGAGCGGUGAAAUGCGUUGAUAUCGACCGGAACUCCGGUGGCGAAGGCGAGGUGCUGGACCCUUUCUGACGCUGAGGCGCGAAAGCCAGGGGAGCGAACGGG